rnacentral:rRNA from 1 species
GAUGAACGCUGGCGGCGUGCCUAAUACAUGCAAGUCGAGCGAACAGAUAAGGGGCUUGCUCCUUUGACGUUAGCGGCGGACGGGUGAGUAACACGUGGAUAACCUACCUAUAAGACUGGGAUAACUUCGGGAAACCGGAGCUAAUACCGGAUAACAUAUUGAACCGCAUGGUUCAAUAGUGAAAGGCGGCUUUGCUGUCACUUAUAGAUGGAUCCGCGCCGUAUUAGCUAGUUGGUAAGGUAACGGCUUACCAAGGCAACGAUACGUAGCCGACCUGAGAGGGUGAUCGGCCACACUGGAACUGAGACACGGUCCAGACUCCUACGGGAGGCAGCAGUAGGGAAUCUUCCGCAAUGGGCGAAAGCCUGACGGAGCAACGCCGCGUGAGUGAUGAAGGUCUUCGGAUCGUAAAACUCUGUUAUCAGGGAAGAACAAAUGUGUAAGUAACUGUGCACAUCUUGACGGUACCUGAUCAGAAAGCCACGGCUAACUACGUG